ACAUCCAGAGAACUUGGCAGAGAUGCCUUGGCGCCUUCGGGACCUCUGAGACAGGUGCUGCAUGGCUGUCGUCAGCUCGUGUUGUGAAAUGUUGGGUUAAGUCCCGNAACGAGCGCAACCCCUAUCCUUUGUUGCCAGCGAUUCGGUCGGGAACUCAAAGGAGACUGCCGGUGAUAAACCGGAGGAAGGUGGGGAUGACGUCAAGUCAUCAUGGCCCUUACGAGUAGGGCUACACACGUGCUACAAUGGCGCAUACAAAGAGAAGCGACCUCGCGAGAGCAAGCGGACCUCAUAAAGUGCGUCGUAGUCCGGAUCGGAGUCUGCAACUCGACUCCGUGAAGUCGGAAUCGCUAGUAAUCGUAGAUCAGAAUGCUACGGUGAAUACGUUCCCGGGCCUUGUACACACCGCCCGUCACACCAUGGGAGUGGGUUGCAAAAGAAGUAGAUAGCUUAACCUUCGGGAGGGCGUUUACCACUUUGUGAUUCAUGACUGGGGUGAAGUCGUAACAAGGUAAGCGUAGCGAG
rnacentral:rRNA from 1 species